rnacentral:miRNA from 1 species
UCCCUCCCUUAGUUACACCAAGA